AGUCGAGGGGUAUAGGUUUUCGGACCUAGAGACCGGCGCACGGGUGCGUAACGCGUAUGCAAUCUACCUUUCACAGAGGGAUAGCCCAGAGAAAUUUGGAUUAAUACCUCAUAGUAUAACGACUCGGCAUCGAGAUGUUAUUAAAGUCACAACGGUGAAAGAUGAGCAUGCGUCCCAUUAGCUAGUUGGUAUGGUAACGGCAUACCAAGGCGACGAUGGGUAGGGGUCCUGAGAGGGAGAUCCCCCACACUGGUACUGAGACACGGACCAGACUCCUACGGGAGGCAGCAGUGAGGAAUAUUGGACAAUGGGCGCAAGCCUGAUCCAGCCAUGCCGCGUGCAGGAUGACGGUCCUAUGGAUUGUAAACUGCUUUUGCACAGGAAGAAACAACUCUACGUGUAGAGUCUUGACGGUACUGUGAGAAUAAGGAUCGGCUAACUCCGUGCCAGCAGCCGCGGUAAUACGGAGGAUCCAAGCGUUAUCCGGAAUCAUUGGGUUUAAAGGGUCCGUAGGCGGUCUUAUAAGUCAGUGGUGAAAUCUCCCCGCUCAACGGGGAAACGGCCAUUGAUACUGUAGGACUUGAAUUAUUAGGAAGUAACUAGAAUAUGUAGUGUAGCGGUGAAAUGCUUAGAGAUUACAUGGAAUACCAAUUGCGAAGGCAGGUUACUACUAAUGGAUUGACGCUGAUGGACGAAAGCGUGGGUAGCGAACAGGAUUAGAUACCCUGGUAGUCCACGCCGUAAACGAUGGAUACUAGCUGUUGGAAAGCAUUUCAGUGGCUAAGCGAAAGUGAUAAGUAUCCCACCUGGGGAGUACGUUCGCAAGAAUGAAACUCAAAGGAAUUGACGGGGGCCCCGCACAGCG
rnacentral:rRNA from 1 species